rnacentral:rRNA from 1 species
AAUGAACGCUGGCGGCGCGCCUAAUACAUGCGAAGUCGAGCGAGAAGACGUAGCAAUACGUUUGUAAAGCGGCGAACGGGUGAGGAAUACAUGGGUAACCCUACCCUAGAGUGGGGAAUAACUAGCCGAAAGGUUAGCUAAUACCGCGUACGCUCCUUGGACUUCGGUUCAGGGAGGAAAGCGAUGCCGAGGGUAUCGCGCUCUUGGAUGGGCUCAUGUCCUAUCAGCNGUUGGUGAGGUAACGGCUCACCAAGGCUUCGACGGGUAGCUGGUCUGAGAGGACGAUCAGCCACACUGGCACUGCGACACGGGCCAGACUCCUACGGGAGGCAGCAGUAAGGAAUAUUGCGCAAUGGGCGAAAGCCCGACGCAGCGACGCCGCGUGGGGGA